ACAAGGUCUCCGUAGGGAAACCUGCGGAGGGAUCAUUACAAGUGACCCCGGUUUACCACCGGGAUGUUCAUAACCCUUUGUUGUCCGACUCUGUUGCCUCCGGGGCGACCCUGCCUUCGGGCGGGGGCUCCGGGUGGACACUUCAAACUCUUGCGUAACUUUGCAGUCUGAGUAAACUUAAUUAAUAAAUUAAAACUUUUAACAACGGAUCUCUUGGUUCUGGCAUCGAUGAAGAACGCAGCGAAAUGCGAUAAGUAAUGUGAAUUGCAGAAUUCAGUGAAUCAUCGAAUCUUUGAACGCACAUUGCGCCCCCUGGUAUUCCGGGGGGCAUGCCUGUUCGAGCGUCAUUUCACCACUCAAGCCUCGCUUGGUAUUGGGCAACGCGGUCCGCCGCGUGCCUCAAAUCGACCGGCUGGGUCUUCUGUCCCCUAAGCGUUGUGGAAACUAUUCGCUAAAGGGUGUUCGGGAGGCUACGCCGUAAAACAACCCCAUUUCUAAGGUUGACCUCGGAUCAGGUAGGGAUACCCGCUGAACUUAAGCAUAUCAAUAAGCGGAGGAAAAGAAACCAACAGGGAUUGCCCUAGUAACG
rnacentral:rRNA from 1 species